GGGAAGUGCGCACUCCCGGCGGCGGGCAGGCUCUCCCGCGGCGCGCUGCUCGGACGCAGGCCGGCUCGGCGGAGCAGACGGAGGCAGGAUGGCAAAACAGAAAAGAAAAGUUAGAGAAGUGACAGAGGAAAAGAACAAAAAGUUGAAGAAGGUGGCAGUAGAGGAGCUCCUGCUCGCACCUGAAACCACGUCGAAUGAAAAGGAAGCACCCCCAGAGGUUCCAGGUGAAAACUGGUUUCUUCAGAGAAGCGUGAGCACUUCGGUGACCCAGCGCACCCGAAGUCCUCCCGGAACCCGGCUGCGCGGGGUCUCCUUGGCUUAGCGACCUGCCCCUGGUUUUGCUCGACUCCCAGUUGCUCUCACCUUGGAGGUUCUCCCUCUGCAGGAAACCUGGAGCCUUCCUUUCCUAAUGAAGCCUCUUGCCCUGUCUGCUGGUCCCCGCAGGCGCCCACGGCCAUCCCCGUUUCCGGCUGGGGUCAGCACAGGCCGACUCGUCAGCCGAGGCUGGCACUGACCCUCGUUAUUCUCUUUUAAGUACCUUUCUGAAAAGUAUGCAGUUGUCUUUCAGUAAUAAAGUGCCUGCUAAUUUAAAGAAAUGUGGAGAAAGAAGGA
rnacentral:lncRNA from 1 species